GGUGCCAGAAGACUCGGUAAGGCCAGAGACGCAAACGUUAGUCGUCCUAAUCAGGCGUAAAGGGUUUGUAGGCAGCUUUGAAAUUUUUCUUUUUUAUAUAGCACUAACUUAAAAUACAAACUAUUAUAGUUAAUUAAAGGAGUUAAACAAUUAAAGCUAGAAUCAAAUAGAGGUUAUAUUAAAUAAUACUUAGUGUAGGGCCGAUAUCCUUAGAUACUAAGGGGAAUAUUAAGGGCGAAAGCUUUUUUCCACUAAUGAUUGACGCUGAGAAACGAAGGUGAGGAUAGGAAAUAGGAUUAGAUAUACAAGUCAAGCAUAUCAGUCAAUGAUGAAUGGUGGCUACUAGUGAAUCAUUGGUGGCGAUGUUAACACGAUAACCAUUCCGCCUUGUGAGUACGACUGCAAAGUGAAAACAAAAAAAUUAGUCCGUCUCCAGCAAUCA
rnacentral:rRNA from 1 species